AUACGGAGGGUGCAAGCGUUACUCGGAAUUACUGGGCGUAAAGGACACGUAGGCGGUUUAGAAAGUCAGAUGUGAAAGCCUAUGGCUUAACCAUAGAACUGCAUCUGAAACUCCUAGACUAGAGUGAGGGAGAGGUCAGUGGAAUUAGUGGUGUAGGGGUAAAAUCCGUAGAGAUCACUAGGAAUACUCAUAGCGAAGGCGACUGACUGGAACUUUACUGACGCUGAGGCGUGAAAGCGUGGGGAGCAAACAGGAUUAGAAACCCGGGUAGUCC
rnacentral:rRNA from 1 species